AUUGAACGCUGGCGGCAGGCCUAACACAUGCAAGUCGAGCGGAGCGGCGGACGGGUGAGUAAUGCCUAGGAAUCUGCCUGGUAGUGGGGGAUAACGUCCGGAAACGGGCGCUAAUACCGCAUACUAUCAGAUGAGCCUAGGUCGGAUUAGCUAGUUGGUGGGGUAAAGGCCUACCAAGGCGACGAGCCAUAACUGGUCUGAGAGGAUGAUCAGUCACACUGGAAAUGAGACACGCUGCAGACUCUGUAGGGAGGCAGCGGUGGGGAAUAUUUGACAACGGGCGAAAGCCUGAUCCAGCCAGGCCGCGUGUGUGAAGAAGGUCUUCGGAUUGUAAAGCACUUUAAGUUGGGAAGCGUUACCAACAGAAUAAGCACCGGCUAACUUCGUGCCAGCAGCCGCGGUAAAC
rnacentral:rRNA from 1 species